rnacentral:rRNA from 1 species
GAUGAACGCCGACAGAAUGCUUAACACAUGCAAGUCAACUUGAACUUCGGUUUGGGUGGCGGACGGGUGAGUAACGCGUAAAGAACUUGCCUCACAGCUAGGGACAACAUUUGGAAACGAAUGCUAAUACCUGAUAUUAUGAUUAUAUGGCAUCGUAUAAUUAUGAAAGCUAUAUGCGCUGUGAGAGAGCUUUGCGUCCCAUUAGCUAGUUGGAGAGGUAACAGCUCACCAAGGCGAUGAUGGGUAGCCGGCCUGAGAGGGUGAUCGGCCACAAGGGGACUGAGACACGGCCCUUACUCCUACGGGAGGCAGCAGUGGGGAAUAUUGGACAAUGGACCGAGAGUCUGAUCCAGCAAUUCUGUGUGCACGAUGAAGUUUUUCGGAAUGUAAAGUGCUUUCAGUUGGGAAGAAAAAAAUGACGGUACCAACAGAAGAAGUGACGGCUAAAUACGUG